AACGUAGGAGCCAAGCGUUAUCCGAAUUCACUGGGCGUAAAGCGCGUGCAGGCGGUCUGGUAAGUUGGAUGUGAAAUCUCCUGGCUCAACUGGGAGAGGCCGUUCAAUACUGUCAGACUAGAGGGCGACAGAGGAAGGUAGAAUUCCCGGUGUAGUGGUGAAAUGCGUAGAUAUCGGGAGGAAUACCAGUGGCGAAGGCGACCUUCUGGGUCGCACCUGACGCUAAGACGCGAAAGCUAGGGGAGCAAACGGGAUUAGAAACCCCGGUAGUCCUAGCCGUAAACGAUGUAGACUUGGUGUCGGCGGGGUAAAAGCCGUCGGUGCCGAAGCAAACGCGAUAAGUCUACCGCCUGGGGACUACGGCCGCAAGGUUAAA
rnacentral:rRNA from 1 species